AUCUCGGUGAACAAGCCAUUCAUCAAUGAAAACAAAUCAAGACCAAAGGCGGGCUGGACAUUCGGACUGUAACCUCAAAACCUGGUGAUUCUCGCAACAGAAUGAACACCAGACUAAAGCAAAGGCAGAAGACAAUAAUGCUGGUUAGGCCUGUAGGCCUGUUCAAGUUUCAUUAACCAUUAUCAUACAGGAAAAGGGGAAUUACAUCCCUGUAUUAAAGGGCUGCCAUCUGGACUUCAACUUUGGAGUUAGAGAUGGCUCACUGGCCACAGUCCCAUCACGAACAACACCAUUAGCCAUCAGCGUCUCCAAGAAUUUGGUCAGCUUCUCCUCAUCAUGUGUUCCAUUGCUACCAGAUGUCUCUAUCAGCAUGUAGAAUGGAAACUCUCCAAUUGGUCGCUGAAGUUUGA